rnacentral:rRNA from 1 species
UUUAUGGAGAGUUUGAUCCUGGCUCAGGAUGAACGCUGGCGACGUGCCUAAUACAUGCAAGUCGAGCGAACAGACGAGGAGCUUGCUCCUCUGACGUUAGCGGCGGACGGGUGAGUAACACGUGGAUAACCUACCUAUAAGACUGGGAUAACUUCGGGA